rnacentral:rRNA from 1 species
AUUGCACGCUGGCGGCAGGCCUAACACAUGCAAGUCGAGCGGAGAGGCGGACGGGUGAGUAAUGCCUAGGAAUCAUCCUGGUAGUGGGGGAUAACGUCAGGAAACGGGCGCUAAUACCGCAUACUAUCAGAUGAGCCUAGGUAGGAGUAGCUAGUUGGUGGGGUAAAGGCCUACCAAGGCGACGAACCGUAACUGGUCUGAGAGGAUGUUCAGUCACACUGGAACUGAUACACGUUCCAGAAGCCUACGGGAGGCCGCAGGGGGGAAUAUUGGACAAUGGGCGAAAGCCUGAUCCAGCCAUUCCGCGUGUGUGAAGAAGGUCUUCGGAUUGUAAAGCACUUUAAGUUGGGAGGCGUUACCAACAGAAUAAGCACCGGCUAACUUCGUGCCAGCAGGCGCGGUAAUAC